AGUUAAUGUUGGAGAUUACAUCCAGGCUGUACUGGACCGAAACCUGGCGGAGAACAUCUCCCGGGUGCUCUACCCCAAUGACAAUUUUUUUGAAGGGAAGGAGCUCCGUUUGAAGCAGGAGUACUUUGUGGUGGCUGCUACUCUGCAGGACAUCAUGAGACGCUUUAAAUCUUCAAAGUUUGGCUGCAGGGAUCCCGUGCGCACCUCUUUUGAGGCUUUCCCUGAAAAGGUGGCAAUCCAGUUGAAUGAUACUCAUCCAGCUCUGGCGAUUCCUGAACUCAUGAGGAACCUGCUGGAUAUAGAGCAGCUGGACUGGG